GAUGAACGCUAGCUACAGGCUUAACACAUGCAAGUCGCGGGGCAGCAUGGGGGUUGCUUGCAAUCCCCGAUGGCGACCGGCGCACGGGUGAGUAACGCGUAUCCAACCUGCCCUUCACCACGGGAUAACCCGGCGAAAGUCGGACUAAUACCGUAUGUUGUCCAUUGACGGCCUCCGAUUUGGACGAAAGGCUUGGCGGUGAGGGAUGGGGAUGCGUCCGAUUAGCCAGACGGCGGGGUAACGGCCCACCGUGGCUACGAUCGGUAGGGGUUCUGAGAGGAAGGUCCCCCACACUGGAACUGAGACACGGUCCAGACUCCUACGGGAGGCAGCAGUGAGGAAUAUUGGUCAAUGGGCGUAAGCCUGAACCAGCCAAGUAGCGUGCAGGAUGACGGCCCUAUGGGUUGUAAACUGCUUUUAUGCGGGGAUAAAGUGGCCCACGUGUGGGCUUUUGCAGGUACCGCAUGAAUAAGGACCGGCUAAUUCCGUG
rnacentral:rRNA from 1 species